rnacentral:rRNA from 1 species
UACGAAGGGUGCAAGCGUUGUUCGGAAUUACUGGGCGUAAAGGGCGCGUAGGCGGCGUGACAAGUCACUUGUGAAAUCUCCGGGCUUAACUCGGAACGGUCAAGUGAUACUGUCGUGCUAGAGUACAGAAGGGGCAACUGGAAUUCUCGGUGUAGCGGUGAAAUGCGUAGAUAUCGAGAGGAACACCUGCGGCGAAGGCGGGUUGCUGGGCUGAUACUGACGCUGAGGCGCGAAAGCCAGGGGAGCGAACGGG